rnacentral:rRNA from 1 species
UGUAUAAUGGGUCAGCGACUUAUAUUCAGUAGCGAGGUUAACCGUAUAGGGGAGCCGUAGAGAAAUCGAGUCUUAAUAGGGCGUUUAGUUGCUGGGUAUAGACCCGAAACCAGGCGAUCUAUCCAUGAGCAGGUUGAAGGUUGGGUAACACUAACUGGAGGACCGAACCCACUGUCGUUGAAAAGCCAGGGGAUGACUUGUGGAUAGGGGUGAAAGGCUAAUCAAGCCUGGUGAUAGCUGGUUCUCCCCGAAAGCUAUUUAGGUAGCGCCUCGGACGAAUACCAUAGGGGGUAGAGCACUGUUUCGGCUAGGGGGUCAUCCCGACUUACCAAACCGAUGCAAACUCCGAAUACCUAUGAGUACUAUCCGGGAGACAGACUGCGGGUGCUAACGUCCGUAGUCAAGAGGAAAACAAUCCAGACCGCCAGCUAAGGCCCCAAAAUCAUAGUUAAGUGGGAAACGAUGUGGGAAGGCAUAGACAGCUAGGAGGUUGGCUUAGAAGCAGCCACCCUUUAAAGAAAGCGUAAUAGCUCACUAGUCGAGUCGGCCUGCGCGGAAGAUGUAACGGGGCUAAAACUAUGUGCCGAAGCUGCGGAUGUAUACUUUGUAUACGUGGUAGGGGAGCGUUCUGUAAGCCGAUGAAGGUGUGUUGAGAAGCAUGCUGGAGGUAUCAGAAGUGCGAAUGCUGACGUGAGUAACGACAAAACGGGUGAAAAACCCGUUCGCCGAAAGACCAAGGGUUCCAGUCCAACGUUAAUCGGGGCUGGGUGAGUCGACCCCUAAGGCGAGGCCGAAAGGCGUAGUCGAUGGGAAAAUGGUUAAUAUUCCAUUACUUCUGUGUAAUGCGAUGAGAGGACGGAGAAGGCUAAAUCAGCCUGGCGUUGGUUGUCCAGGUGAAAGGAUGUAGGCAUGUAUCUUAGGCAAAUCCGGGGUACUCUAUGCUGAGAUCUGAUAGCAAGCUGUACUUGUACAGCGAAGUGGUUGAUGCCAUGCUUCCAGGAAAAGUCUCUAAGCUUCAGUUACACAGGAAUCGUACCCGAAACCGACACAGGUGGUCAGGUCGAGUAGACCAAGGCGCUUGAGAGAACUCUGCUGAAGGAACUAGGCAAAAUGGUACCGUAACUUCGGGAGAAGGUACGCUGUUGUUGGUGAUGGAACUCGCUUCCUGAGCUGACGACAGCCGCAGAAACCAGGCCGCUGCAACUGUUUAUUAAAAACAUAGCACUCUGCAAACACGAAAGUGGACGUAUAGGGUGUGAUGCCUGCCCGGUGCUGGAAGGUUAAUUGAUGGGGUUAGCGUAAGCGAAGCUCUUGAUCGAAGCCCCAGUAAACGGCGGCCGUAACUAUAACGGUCCUAAGGUAGCGAAAUUCCUUGUCGGGUAAGUUCCGACCUGCACGAAUGGCAUAAUGAUGGCGGCGCUGUCUCCAGCAGAGGCUCAGUGAAAUCGAAAUCGCUGUGAAGAUGCAGUGUACCCGCGGCUAGACGGAAAGACCCCGUGAACCUUUACUGCAGCUUGACACUGAACUUUGACCUUACUUGUGUAGGAUAGGUGGGAGGCUUUGAAGCUGGAACGCUAGUUCCAGUGGAGCCGUCCUUGAAAUACCACCCUGGUAAUGUUGAGGUUCUAACUCUGUCCCGUGAUCCGGGACGAGGACCGUGUCUGGUGGGUAGUUUGACUGGGGCGGUCUCCUCCUAAAGAGUAACGGAGGAGUACGAAGGUGCGCUCAGCGUGGUCGGAAAUCACGCGUAGAGUAUAAAGGCAAAAGCGCGCUUAACUGCGAGACCCACAAGUCGAGCAGGUACGAAAGUAGGUCUUAGUGAUCCGGUGGUUCUGUAUGGAAGGGCCAUCGCUCAACGGAUAAAAGGUACUCUGGGGAUAACAGGCUGAUACCGCCCAAGAGUUCAUAUCGACGGCGGUGUUUGGCACCUCGAUGUCGGCUCAUCUCAUCCUGGGGCUGAAGCAGGUCCCAAGGGUAUGGCUGUUCGCCAUUUAAAGAGGUACGCGAGCUGGGUUUAGAACGUCGUGAGACAGUUCGGUCCCUAUCUACCGUGGGCGCUGGAAAUUUGAGAGGAUCUGCUCCUAGUACGAGAGGACCAGAGUGGACGAACCUCUGGUGUACCGGUUGUGACGCCAGUCGCAUCGCCGGGUAGCUAUGUUCGGAAGGGAUAACCGCUGAAAGCAUCUAAGCGGGAAGCCUACCUCAAGAUAAGAUUUCCCUAGGACUUUAUGUCCUCUAAAGAGCCGUUCGAGACUAGGACGUUGAUAGGUUGGAUGUGGAAGCAUAGUGAUAUGUGAAGCUGAC